CAGCAUAAUGGGUAGACAGCAUAAAGAGUCUCUCAUGCCUGAGGCUCCAAAGUCUCAGGUUCAAUCCCCACCUCCCCCAUAAACCAGAGUAGAGUAGUGUUCUGGUAAAAAAAAAAAAAAAAAGAAAGAAAGAAAGAAAGAAAAAGAAAAGAAGAGAGAGAGAAUAUGUAGCAAUGUAUCCCAUUCCUCUUCCCAGCAGUUGUCCAAGCAGGCCAGUCAGACUUCUUGGGCUCACGUCCCGUUGGCUCUGUGAGUGCAUUUCUUCUCCAAAGGCCCUCAACUCCUCCCUUAACCAGAGGCCUAGAGAGCUUGGCUGCCAGGUCAUUCCCUGCUUCCUCCCUCCACCCCACCCCAACUCGCUGAUGUCAGCUGGGCGGGGCGAGUCUAGUUUGCAGAUCUGGGACCUGGCCUAGUGGGACCUCGGGAUUUUGUGGGCUGGAGUGAGUGGGAAUGCUCUGGGUGCGGGGUUCGCCGAGAGAGCCGCGCCAACCACCCACACAGACUAGAUCCACCCACAGUCCAACAUGCACCUGUGCAGACCACUGCAGUACUCUGUCGCCAAGGCUGAUGUCAGCGCUGUGUCGGGACUUCCAUUUAUGGUCUCCAGUAUACUGCGUCACCAUGACUACCAAUGAAAGAAAGGAAGAAACAGACAUAGAGAGGAGAGACACCACAGCACUUGAUCAUCCAUAUGGAGAUGCCCCACGAUGCUCCUGUGCGGUACCAAUGUUUCAUACACAGAAGGAAAUGAGUUCUACCAGAGUGUGAGAGAUAAAGAUGUAGAGAAUGAGAGAAAUAGAGAAAAGAGACCCCGGAAACUCUGCUCCUCUGCUGGUGAAGUUUCCCUGUCUGCAGAGCACUGCUCAGCUCUGGUUUAUGGUGGUGCAGGGGAUUGAACCUGGCACAUUGGAGUCUCAGGUGCAGGGAAGAAGAAGAAAAAAAAGGAGGAGGAGGAGAAAAAGAAUGGAAGGAGGAGGAGGAAGAAGACGAUGGACUAGCAAAAGACAUGGAGCAGCUAUUCUUAGAGACAUGCUGAUCUGAGAUGCUUUACAAGAGCCUGUGUGUUUAUGGCAGCAUAGCUGGUACCAUCUGGUUGUGAUAAUUCUUAGGCUGCCUGAAAUGGAGGCAAUUUCUUUUCUCUGUUUCUUUUCAUUUUUUUUUAUUUUUAAAAAUAUUUAUUUAUUUAUUCCCUAUUGUUGUCCUUGUUGAUUUAUUGUUGUAGUUAUUAUUGAUGUCAUUGUUGUUGGAUAGGACAGAGAGAAAUGGAGAGAGGAGGGAAAUACAGAGGCUGGAAGAGAAAGACAGACACCUGCAGACCUGCUUCACUGCCUCUGAUGCGACUCCACUGAAGGUGCAGAGCCAGGGGCUCGAACUGCUAUCCUUACACUGGUCCUUCAGCCUGCGCCACCUGCACUUAACCCACUCCCUCUUUAUUUAU